rnacentral:rRNA from 1 species
CCUACGGGUGGCAGCAGUGAGGAAUAUUGGUCAAUGGCCGGAAGGCUGAACCAGCCAUGCCGCGUGAAGGUCAGUGCCCUAUGGGCGGUAAACUUCUUUUGUGCGGGAGCAAUAAUGGUCACGUGUGGCCAGACGAGAGUACCGUACGACUAAGCAUCGGCUAACUCCGUGCAAGCAGCCGCGGUAAUACGGGGGAUGCAAGCGUUAUCCGGGUUUAGUGGGUUUAAAGGGUGCGUAUGCUGUGGGGUAAGUCAGCGGUGAAAUGCCCCCGCACAGCGGGGUGAAGGGCCAUUGAUACUGCAUGGAUGGAAGGCGGAUGCCGGGGGAGGAAUGUGUGGUGUAGCGGUGAAUU